GGAGCAGCGGACGGGUGAGUAUUACAUGAGAACCUAUCCCAUAUCGGGUGACAACGUUUGGAAACGGACGCUAAUACCCCAUAGGCCGAGAGGUUAAAGCGGAGACGCGAUAUGGGAGGGGCUCGUGACCUAUCAGCUAGUUGGUGGGGUAAGGGCCUACCAAGGCGAAGACGGGUAGCCGGCCUGAGAGGGUGACCGGCCACACUGGAACUGAGAUACGGUCCAGACUCCUACGGGAGGCAGCAGUGGGGAAUAUUGGGCAAUGGGAGCAAUCCUGACCCAGCAACGCUGCGUGAACGAAGAAGGCCCUUGGGUCGUAAAGUUCUUUUAUACGGGAAGAAGUCAGUGACGGUACCGUAUGAAUAAGCCCCGGCUAACUACGUGCCAGCAGCCGCGGUAAUACGUAGGGGGCGAGCGUUGUCCGGAAUUACUGGGCGUAAAGGGCACGCAGGCUGCGCUACAAGUCAGCUGUAAAGGAUGCGGCUUAACCGUGUUAUGCAGUUGAACUGUAGUGCUGGAGUACCGAAGAGGCAAGUGGAAUUCCCAGUGUAGCGGUGAAAUGCGUAGAUUUGGGAAGAACACCGGUGGCGAAGGCGACUUGCUGUCGGUAACUGACGCUGAGUGCGAAGCCAGGGAGCAACGGAUUAGAUACCCGGUAGUCCUGGCCGUAACGAUGAUGCU
rnacentral:rRNA from 1 species